AAACUGACAAACUCAUUUUUCUACUGGGACAGGAUGCUGUGCUGGCUGAAGUUCCAUUUCUACAGCAAGAAUCCUAUCUGGAAGCACAGAAGUUGUCCUCUAGCCACAGCAGCUCCAACUUUUUUGUUGUUGCUGCUUUCUUCUAUCACCCCCUUCCCCUUUUGACAAAGAUCCAACUGUAGAAAGUCUUACGUAACAGUUCAGGACUACUUCGGUUCUUUUACCGGUGAAAUGAAGCUGUGAUAAUGUGGUAAAUAUGGGGAGACACCAAGCUGUGGCUCUUGCGGACUUCAGCAGCACUGAAAUGCAACACUGUGGGCUUUGGCAGCUGCAUUCCGUACUCUGAAAUUCUUAUAUCAUUACUCUGGCAAACAAGAAGGAAUUUGCUUGUUUGAUUUAGCUCUGCAGUAAAGGUUCAAAUCUGAGACUGGUAAAGGAAGGAGAAAGCAACAUAUCCAACCAAUACUGGAACAAUGAACUCUGGUGUUCAAGUUCUGGCUAUGGAACUCCGGCUAGUCUACUGAUCCAAUGUGAGCUCCAGGCCAGGCAAGGCUACCUAGGAAGAGCCUGUCUUAAAAGGGGGGAGAAAAGUUACAGACGGUACCUGUAUGGACAUAUUUGAAAUAACAGAUUUAUGUUACCAACACAGCAGCAGCAGCUCCCUUUCAUCCUCAGCACCCUCCUAUAGUAGCUAAGAGCCUCGAGAACAGCUUCUCCCUAAGGCUGGCCUGGAAUUUACUGUGCAUCCCAAAUGAUCCUGAACUCCUGAAUCUCAUGCUUCUACCUUCCACUGGGAUUACAGGUAUGUAUCAGUAUUUUCUACUGUACUAUGCAUUCCAAUAGGGGCACCUUCAGCAGUUAACCCUGUAAUUGCCAGUAUACUCCAUCUCAUAAAAAACUACUGAACAAAUGCGCCAUUUAUUCUUUCUUCUCUUUUCGAGACAGGAUGUUACUGAAGUCACAGAGCCCACCAGCCUCUGUUGAUAUUAAACAUGUGCACUGCCAACCUCCAUUGUGGCCAAUACUAAAUUCAAGUCUUGGAGGCCAGGGAGCUGGAGAGAUGGCUCAAUGGUUAAGAGCACUGGACUGCUCUUCCAAAGGUCCUGAGUUCAUUUCCCAGGAACCACUUGGUGGCUAACAAACAUCUGUAAUGGGAUCCAGUGCCCUCUCCUGGUAUGUCUGAAGACAGCCACAAAUAUCUUCACAUACAUAAUAAAUAAACAGAUCUUAAAAAAAAAAAAAAAAAAAAAAAGGAGACCAAUUCUAGAAGUGGGGCUGUAAGUAGGCACUUCACAACAUUAUUCUAGGCUUUAAUUUUUUAUUUACACUGUAAGUGUGUAUGUGCUUACAUAUGCACACUCAUAUAUACAUAUAUGCAUGCACAUGUCAAAGUGUGCAUGUGUAGGUCAAAGGACAAUGUGAGAAAGCUGGUUCUCUCCUUCUACAAUGUGGGUUACAGACACUGAAUUCAGAAGGUCAGGGUUUGCAACAAGCCACUUUACCUGGCUGAGCCAUCUCACCAUUCUAUUCUAGGCUUUUAGAGUAUUUCUUUCUCAGAGCAAUUUCAAAAGAAGAGAAUUCUGGCUUGGUAUGGUUGACAGACACAUGUAAUUCUAGCACUUAAGAGGCUAAGGUAAGAAAAUCUUGAGUUAGAGCCCUGACAACACAGAGUUAUCAAGAUCAGCCCAGCUACAUAAAAAGUCUUCCUCAAAAAAAAUAAAAUAAAAUAAAAUAAAAAUAAAAUAAAAAUUGAGGGACAGGAGGGAUAAGAAUGAAUGCAUAUAAUCUAGAUAUGAAGUCUGUGCUCUAAGUGGGAAGCUAAAGCUAAGGCUUGAAACUAUUUGGCAGGAUAGUUUCAGAAACUUGGCGGCUGAAAGGGAACCAAUAUUUCAUUAAAACAUAUUCUAUUUUCCUUAAUCAUGAAAGAUUCUUACUUUGAAAAGUUUAAAUGCCUGGGUGAAUGUAGUAGUGCACUCCUUUGAGCUUGGCACUUAAGAGGCAAAAAACGAGUAGGUCACUGAGUUAGAGGUCAGCCUAGUCUUCAAAGUGAAAAAACAAAACUAAAGUGAAAAACCAAAAACUGGAUAAGGAAAAAUUAUAAUGCAUUCUAUUCCAAGGUAUUGAACUAAAACAAACAUUUUCAGCUUUUUUAAAACUAAGAGGGCCAGAGAGAUGACUCAGUGGGUAAAAGCAAGUGACACACAAGCCUGAUGACAUGCAAAUGAUCCCUAGAACCCACCUAAAGCCAGAAGUCAAGAAUCAACUCCACAAAGUUGUCCUCUGACCUUCACACGCUUGCUUUGGCAGAUGUACCACUACCCCCUCCUCACACACACACACACAGACACAGGGUUGUCUCAAACUGUUACAAUACUGUUCCCACAGAAAAAAAUAAUUGCUAAAAUCUAGCCUCAGAUUUUUUUUUUUUAGACAUUCCUUCUUAGUCAUCCAUAACAAAUCUCAAAGCAUUCCCUGCACCCACCAGAUAGUAACAGGCAUCCAUGGCUACACAAGGACUCAACAAUUGCCUUUGAAUCCAAUUGUAAACAAGUCCUCAACUCUUGGCUCCAUGGAGAAUGCCUACAAGUCAGUAUAAACUCUGAAACAGGGGCAGAGGUCAAGUGACUGGGAGAGUUCAGCCUAAACUCUCAAUCUCAUCCCACCCCCACCUUGUUCAAAAGAAUCCUAUCAGAAAGAACCUCCCAGCAAAGGGCCACAUUCAGGAGACCUGAUGUGGCAGUGUUGCCACAUACUGAGCUGGGCCUUUAGAAGCACAGGGGAACUGCUAGAGCCAGGAACCACCUAAUCACAGAGUAAAUGCUAUGGAGGAGGAAACAUUAAGGGAAAACAGAGAGACUCACAAAUUUAUCUUAAUAUGCUUUAGGAGAGAAACUGUCUCAUAAAGGAUAAAACAGUCCUUAACCUGAGCCAUAAAAGAAAUUUCUUUGUGGACUUAAUUUGCCAGUGAACUCUUCCAGUUUGUGUCCAAAAAUCAUCCUAUAAUGCAAAAGAUGCUCAAUUGAUACUUUUUGAAAAACCAUCAGAGCCGGGUGGGGGUGGUGCCUUUAAUCCCAGCACUCAGGCGGCAGAGGCAGAUUGAUGGAUCUCUGUGAGUCAAGCCUGGUCUACAAAUUGAGUUCCAGGACAGCCAGGACAGAGAACCAACCCCUGUCUCAAAAAAACAAAAACAAAGAAAGAAAAACUCAUCAUACACAUAAAAAUCAUGAUAUAGGGCUUGGCACAGUGGUCCAUGCCUUUAACCCCAGCACUCAGACAAAAGCAAGCAGGUCUGUGCAUUCAAGACUAGCCUGGCCUACAAAUUGAGUUCUAAACCAGCCAGAGCUACAGAGUGAGACCCUGUCUCAAAGGAAAGGGAAAGGGAGGGAGAGGGGGAGAGAGAGGGAGAGGAAAAAGACAUUAUAUUGUCUUCAACUCUUCACAUGUACAUAUAAAACACACAUAUACAUGAAUGUACUCACAAAAAUAUAUACAAACUUUAUUUCUUAUUGUAUGUAUGAUGGGAGGCCAUGAGCCUUCCACAUCUCAUCUGUGAAGGUCAGUCAAUGGACAACUCUAUGGGAUCAAUUCUUUCCUUUACAUGGAUUCCGAGGAUCAAACUCAGGUCACCAGACUUGAGUAACAACCCCUCUACCCAUUGAGCCAUCAUGACACACAUAAACUCUUUUUAAAAAAGUAAAAAGUUGGGGACACAUGUAGUGGCACAAGCCUUUAAUACCAACACUUGGAGGCAGAACCAGGCAGAUCUCUGAGUUCAAGGCCAGCCAGAAUUAACACAAAGAAUUACCCUGUCUCCAAUGAUGAUGAUGAUCAUGGGAACUGAACCAAGAACCUUGUACAUAGUAGCAAAAGGCUAUGCCAUUGGGCUAUUUCUUCGGACCCAUCAUUAGCAUUGAGACUCACCAAAAUUAAGGUGGCUACAGACAGUUCAGUUAAAUAAGGUCUCUAUAGCCAUAUAUUUCAUGGUAUAUAUACUUUGGGAUCAUUUUACCUCCUCAAGCAGGCCUCACAGUUCUUAUCUAAAUAUAGAAUAUUUAAAAUAGCUUUUAUAAGUGUUUAAUGAAAAAAAUCAAUGUUAAGCAUUUUGUAAAUAUGUCAAUUUACACUCUAUGGUAAAAAGCCACAUAAACUUAUGUCUACCUUUCCUGUUAAACUAGCAACCCUUAACAGAGCUGUGGCCUUUAUACUGUGGCUAAAACUUGGCACAUACAGGAAAGAGGAAGAAAAAAACAGCACUGAAUUAAACAGGUCAGAUCUUAUAAAGACAAAUUUAUCAAAUGGUCUUAUAUGGCAUUCUCCUAACUCAUAACUGUUAGAAUAUUGCAGUGUUUGCCACAUAAGAAAUGCCCAAUAAAGCUGGGCGUGGUGGCACACGCCAUUAAUCCCAGAACCCGGGAGGCAGAGGCAGGCAGAUUUCUGAGUUCGAGGCCAGCCUGGUCUACAAAGUGCGUUCCAGGACAGCCAGGGCUAUACAGAGAAACCCUGUCUUGAAAAAAGAAAAAAAGAAAAAAAAAAAGAGAAAAAAGAAAUGCCCAAUAAAUAGUAUUUCUCAGGGUAAGGCAAAGUCUAAGUGAAUAAACUUCUGACAUCCAAAUAAAUUAAACCUGAGUUCAGAUUCCCAGAACCCAUGCGCCUAUAAUCCCACUGUUUGUACAGAGCUAGGAGGCAGAGACAAAAACUCCCCAGAAGUUUGUGGGCAAUAUGUAGCCCUGAAAAAGAUCCUGUCUCAAGGUCAACAGUAAAUAAAGCCCAACAUGCAAUGUUGCCCCUGUACUGGCUGGUUUUGUGUGUCAAUUUGACACAAAUAAGAGUCAUCAGAGACGGAGCCUCCUUUAAGGAAAUGCCUCCAUGAGAUCCAGCUAUAAGACAUUUUCUCAAUUAGUGUUCAGCCAGGGAAGAGUCCAGACAAUGGUGGGUGAUGCCAUCCCUGGACUGGUGGUUCUGAGUUCUAUAAGAAAGCAGACUAAGCAAGCCUUAUGAAUCAGGCCAGUAAGCAACACCCAUCCUCCUCGGCCUCUGCAUCAGCUCCUGCUUCCAGGUUCCAGUCCUGUUUGAGUUCAUGUCCUGACUUCCUCCAGUGAUGGAUGAUGAUCUGAGUAAACCUGUUCCCUCCCCAGCUUGCUUUUUGGUCAUGGUGUUGAACCUGGGUCCUGUGUGAGAGCAGAUAGUAUGCUUAACCACUGGUACAGCACCUGUACUACUUUUUAAUAUUAAAAACUAUGAUAUAUUGCCA